AAUGAACGCUGGUGGCAGGCCUAACACAUGCAAGUCGAACGGAUCCUUCGGGAUUAGUGGCGGACGGGUGAGUAACGCGUGGGAACAUACCCUUUGGUACGGAAUAGCCUCGGGAAACUGGGAGUAAUACCGUAUGUGGUCGAGAGACGAAAGAUUUAUCGCCAAAGGAUUGGCCCGCGUUGGAUUAGGUAGUUGGUGGGGUAAUGGCCUACCAAGCCGACGAUCCAUAGCUGGUAUGAGAGGAUGAUCAGCCACACUGGGACUGAGACACGGCCCAGACUCCUACGGGAGGCAGCAGUGGGGAAUCUUAGACAAUGGGGGAAACCCUGAUCUAGCCAUGCCGCGUGAUCGAUGAAGGCCUUAGGGUUGUAAAGAUCUUUCAGGUGGGAAGACAAUGACUGUACCACCAGAAGAAGCCCCGGCUAACUCCGUGCCAGCCGCCGCAGUAACAC
rnacentral:rRNA from 1 species